GGAUGUAGAUGCAUUAUGUGUUAUCCUAUUGAUUACCAGAGUUAAUUCAGCUGACCCAGCUGGGUGGGCAGAUGUUCCCUUCUUCCCUUAGUAUUCUGUAUUGGUCUUUCCUGAUGCUUAUACUCAAAUGAUUAAGACAACUUCCAGAUAGAUUAAUUGCUCUAGGAUGUUUGAGUAGUUGGGCUUCCUGGCUAGAGUACCCCCAACAAAUUGGAGCUGAAAGGGAUUGAAAUAGAGCUACCCAGUUAGAGGCAGCUGGCCUCUUUUU
rnacentral:snRNA from 1 species